rnacentral:rRNA from 1 species
AGCGAACGCUGGCGGCAGGCCUAAAACAUGCAAGUCGAACGCCCUAGCAAUAGGGAGUGGCAGACGGGUGAGUAACACGUGGGAACGUGCCUUUUGGUUCGGAACAACACAGGGAAACUUGUGCUAAUACCGGAUAAGCCCUUACGGGGAAAGAUUUAUCGCCAAAAGAUCGGCCCGCGUCUGAUUAGCUAGUUGGUGGGGUAACGGCCCACCAAGGCUACGAUCAGUAGUUGGUCUGAGAGGAUGAUCAGCCACACUGGGACUGAGACACGGCCCACACUCCUACGGGAGGAAGCAGUUAGGAAUCUUGGAAAAUGGGCGCAAGCCUGAUCCAGCAAUGCCGCGUGAGUGAUGAAGGCCUUAGGGUUGUAAGGCUCUUUCAGCGGGGAAGAUAAUGACGGUACCCGCAGAAGAAGCCCCGGCUAACUUCGUGCCAGCCGCCGCGGUAA